GCCGCGGCCUAGUCCCGGCAGACGGGACUGACGAGGUCACCAAGCCCAGGCCGAGACGGCGCGGGUGUCAGGGACUUGGGAAUCCCCCUCCCCCAGUCCCGAUCCCGCUUUCCUUUGGGGUUUCACCUCAGAGGACCCGACAUCACUCUUGCAGUUUCCUCAUCAAGAUGGACUGCACCUUCUGGCAUCUCAAGUGGUUCUUGUGAAGAUUAAAUGAAUCCAUCAGGCCGGGCGCGGUGGCUCACACCUGUAAUCCCAGCACUUUGGGAGGCCGAGACGAGCACAUCACCUGAGGUCAGGAGUUCCAGACCAGCCUGGCCAACAUGACCUCCCCACAGAGUUGAUGCUCUGGAAAGAAAAGCCAGGCUUUUCUCUGAGGUUUUGCAUCUCCUUGGCCAAUGUGCUCAUGCCAGAGAAGAGCAGUGCAUGGCCAGUUUGAGGAGCACGGCCAUGUGACCUUGGACAGCCCCUGCCUCUCUCUAGGACUCACUCCCGGCUGCUAACCUCAGCUCUCUGAUCUGUACCACAAGGAGCUGCCACUAACACCUGUGUCAGAACUACUGUAAGGACCCUUUCCU
rnacentral:antisense_RNA from 1 species